rnacentral:rRNA from 1 species
AACGAACGCUGGCGGCAGGCCUAACACAUGCAAGUCGAGCGAAGCCUUCGGGCUUAGCGGCGGACGGGUGAGUAACGCGUGGGAACGUGCCCUUUGCUACGGAAUAGCCGCGGGAAACUGGGAGUAAUACCGUAUGUGCCCUUCGGGGGAAAGAUUUAUCGGCAAAGGAUCGGCCCGCGUUGGAUUAGGUAGUUGGUGGGGUAAUGGCCUACCAAGCCGACGAUCCAUAGCUGGUUUGAGAGGAUGAUCAGCCACACUGGGACUGAGACACGGCCCAGACUCCUACGGGAGGCAGCAGUGGGGAAUCUUAGACAAUGGGGGAAACCCUGAUCUAGCCAUGCCGCGUGAUCGAUGAAGGCCUUAGGGUUGUAAAGAUCUUUCAGCGGGGAAGAUAAUGACUGUACCCACAGAAGAAGCCCCGGCUAACUCCGUGCCAGCCGCCGCCGUAAGAC